rnacentral:rRNA from 1 species
UACGGAGGGUGCAAGCGUUAUCCGGAUUCACUGGGUUUAAAGGGUGCGUAGGUGGGUUGGUAAGUCAGUGGUGAAAUCCCUGAGCUUAACUUGGGAACUGCCAUUGAUACUACCAGUCUUGAAUACCGUGGAGGCUAGCGGAAUAUGUCAUGUAGCGGUGAAAUGCUUAGAUAUGACAUAGAACACCAAUUGCGAAGGCAGCUGGCUACACGAAUAUUGACACUGAGGCACGAAAGCGUGGGGAUCAAACAGG